AGGACGAACGCUGGCGGCGUGCUUAACACAUGCAAGUGGAGCGACGAACCAGGGCUUGCCCUGGGGCAGAGCCGCGAACGGGUGAGUAACACGUGGGUUGCCUGCCUCGAUGACCGGGACAACCCGAGGAAACUCGGGCUAAUACCGGAUGUGCCCGCAAGGGGAAAGGAAGCUUCGGCCUCCGCAUCGAGAUGGGCCCGCGGCCCAUUAGCUUGUUGGUGAGGUAACGGCUCACCAAGGCUUCGAUGGGUAGCUGGUCUGAGAGGACGAUCAGCCACACUGGGACUGAGACACGGCCCAGACUCCUACGGGAGGCAGCAGUGGGGAAUCUUGCGCAAUGCGCGAAAGCGUGACGCAGCAACGCCGCGUGGGGGAAGAAGGCUUUCGGGUUGUAAACCCCUUUCAGUUGGGACGAAGCUUCGCCGGUGAAUAGCCGGCCGGAGUGACGGUACCUUCACAAGAAGCACCGGCUAACUACGCGCCAGCAGCCGCGGU
rnacentral:rRNA from 1 species